CGAGGUUCAACUCCGUUGAGAAAAACACCGUGCGCACAAGUGACGGCGGACCAACUUCCGAUCGUCUGCUAGCACAAAGAAAGAAAGCAGACGACGAACAAAGACAUUAAUCUGAGCUGAAACUACCAGUACACUGUGCUCAUAACAUUCCCUUGAUCUUCUGACACUGACAAUGUCCCUCAAGAAAAUAUGCUUAAGGAAUCAAGCAGCAUCUACAAAAGUAUUGACUUGGGUAACAUCAAGAAAAUCCUCAUCAUUUGAGACAACAGGUAAAGGCUUACAGUGUAAUAAAGCAAGAUGAAGAGUUGGAAUUUGUGCACCAAGACUUCUAUGUGAAAUUCACGAGCUUGUCCAUGGUGCUGACAAACUUGGAAACUAUCAGGUCAAACCAGGAUUCAAUUGUCCCACGAUCAUUAUGCCAUGGAAUACCAAUAUAUCAUAUCUGUAAGUGAUGUUUUAGUAUUUGUUGUCUUGAAGACAGUAAUGAAAUUGAAAUCAAUAAGUAAACUGUCUUCAGAAUUAUAUCAUGCGGCUAUAUCAAUAAAGAACAGUACAAAUAUAUUUCAGCUCAGCCUUUCAUGUGUUGAAUUAUUUAUAACUUGACCUUGCUAUGUGAUAUGUAUGGUAUUGCACCAAAGUGUAUGGUUGGUCCAAGUUCCACAUGUUUGCAAGCCCUCCUGCCUUGAUCAAAUAAAUGUCCCAGCAAU